rnacentral:rRNA from 1 species
GACGAACGCUGGCGGCGUGCUUAACACAUGCAAGUCGAACGGAAAGGCCCUGCUUUUGUGGGGUGCUCGAGUGGCGAACGGGUGAGUAACACGUGAGUAACCUGCCCUUGACUUUGGGAUAACUUCAGGAAACUGGGGCUAAUACCGGAUAGGAGCUCCUGCUGCAUGGUGGGGGUUGGAAAGUUUCGGCGGUUGGGGAUGGACUCGCGGCUUAUCAGCUUGUUGGUGGGGUAGUGGCUUACCAAGGCUUUGACGGGUAGCCGGCCUGAGAGGGUGACCGGCCACAUGGGGACUGAGAGACGGCCCAGACUCCUACGGGAGGCAGGAGGGGGUAAUAUUGCACAAUGGGCGGAAGCCUGAUGCAGCAACGCCGCGUGUGGGAUGACGGCCUUCGGGUUGGAAACCGCUUUCGCCUGUGACGAAGCGUGAGUGACGGUAAUGGGUAAAGAAGCACCGGCUAACUACGU